GGUGCCAGAAUCUAGAUCACCCAGGGAAGUGCAGCCUUCAAACUUGUUCACUAGUCCAAUCUAAGAUGAUGGGUCCCCACAAGAAAGUAACACCCUGGGUGCCUGAAAGAGACAGUCCUCGUGGGGAGAGAUGAUUUAUUGGGAUGAUGUAAAUCCUACUCUUGGACACCCCCCAGAGAGCUGGAACAGGGAUGAGCGUUCCUCUUCUUCCAAAGUGCCUGCGGCGUGCCAGCUGAAGAGCUAAAUCCUUUCUUCAGGCAAGUCAAUCCAUGCUGAAUAACAAAAGCUGCCAGGAAAGGAAAAACCUUCUAAGGGACACUUAAAGAAAAGUGUCACUGAACUGAGAUUAAACAGUUUCUUUACUACUA